CUCUCUCUCUCUCUCUCUCUCUCUCUCUCUCAUAUGGCCUGGGCAGCUGGUCAUGUUUGUGUUUCAACUUGUGACCAAAGACCCAGAGGUAGAAGCUCGUUCCUCCACUGUGUUAUAAAUCCUUUUUUUUCUUUUUAUCGGCUGCUGUUUUUUCGUCCAUCCCUCUGCUCCCUCUCCUCUGAGAGCUGGCCGGUCCUGUGACCUCCUCCUCUCCCCCUCUCCUCUCCAUCCCCUCCUCCUGCUCCUCCUCUCCUCGUCACAUCUUUGAACUCUCCAUCGCUGCUCCGGUGGCCGGGACCAGAGACCCCCUGCCUGCAGCCCCACCAAUCUCCAUUCUGGAAUUCAGGCAGAGAUCUUUUGGACAACCUCUCCCUCUCACCGUUCCUUGCUUCCUAGUCCAACAUCCCAGCCAAAAAUGCUUUGCUAAAGCUGGUAAAAUGGAACCAAAUCAACUGUUAAAUGGAUUUGGUCCCCUUCAACCAGCUGUAGCUGUGCAUUGAUCACAGCCAAACUGACAUGAACAAGGAGUGACAGACACACAAAAAUACAACCAAAUAAGUAAAGAAGAGGGAUGAUGAUGGUGGAAAAACCCUGGGAAGUGAUGAUUAGACGAGGCUCAUAGUCCCGCUUGGCCUUCAGACAGCCACUUUAAAUCUGUCAAAUCCAGUGCUCGUACAGAGACAGUUGGACAGCCAUUGGAUCUAGGGGCGGCUAGCCAAGCAAGAAUCAAUGAUUGUGGGGAUUUAUCUAAUCAAACACAUUUCCUCAAAGCAUUUCCAAAUGUCCAGGUAAGUGACCAUGUACUGUAUACAUUUGUCCGUUGUUAUAGAUUAUAGGGAUAUCUAGAUUGUAUGUUCAGGUUUGUUGUGUGAAAGCAGGAGUGUCGUGUGAUUAAAAAGCUAACUUUGUGUGUGCGUGAUAUUACUCUUGCACAAAUGUCUGUGCACACAUACACACCUAUGUGAUACCUUAUGCUAAUGUCUGAUCAAUAAAGGCCCAUCCUUGAGUUACCUAAA